rnacentral:rRNA from 1 species
AUUGAACGCUGGCGGCAGGCCUAACACAUGCAAGUCGAGCGGAUGAAGGGAGCUUGCUCCUGGAUUCAGCGGCGGACGGGUGAGUAAUGCCUAGGAAUCUGCCUGGUAGUGGGGGAUAACGUCCGGAAACGGGCGCUAAUACCGCAUACGUCCUGAGGGAGAAAGUGGGGGAUCUUCGGACCUCACGCUAUCAGAUGAGCCUAGGUCGGAUUAGCUAGUUGGUGGGGUAAAGGCCUACCAAGGCGACGAUCCGUAACUGGUCUGAGAGGAUGAUCAGUCACACUGGAACUGAGACACGGUCCAGACUCCUACGGGAGGCAGCAGUGGGGAAUAUUGGACAAUGGGCGAAAGCCUGAUCCAGCCAUGCCGCGUGUGCGAAGAAGGUCUUCGGAUUGUAAAGCACUUUAAGUUGGGAGGAAGGGCAGUAAGUUAAUACCUUGCCGUUUUGACGUUACCAACAGAAUAAGCACCGGCUAACUUCGUG